rnacentral:rRNA from 1 species
UUUGGCCUACGGGAGGCAGCAGUGAGGAAUAUUGGUCAAUGGUCGGGAGACUGAACCAGCCAAGCCGCGUGAGGGAGGAAGGUACAGAGUAUCGUAAACCUCUUUUGUCAGGGAACAAAGACUGGGACGCGUCCCCGGAUGAGUGUACCUGAAGAAAAAGCAUCGGCUAACUCCGUGCCAGCAGCCGCGGUAAUACGGAGGAUGCGAGCGUUAUCCGGAUUUAUUGGGUUUAAAGGGUGCGCAGGCGGUCUGUUAAGUCAGCGGUCAAAGCCCGGGGCUCAACCCCGGCCCGCCGUUGAAACUGG